rnacentral:rRNA from 1 species
AACGAACGCUGGCGGCAUGCCUAACACAUGCAAGUCGAACGAGACCUUCGGGUCUAGUGGCGCACGGGUGCGUAACGCGUGGGAACCUGCCCUUAGGUUCGGAAUAACUCCCCGAAAGGGGUGCUAAUACCGGAUAAUGUCUUCGGACCAAAGAUUUAUCGCCUUUGGAUGGGCCCGCGUUGGAUUAGCUAGUUGGUAGGGUAAAAGCCUACCAAGGCGACGAUCCAUAGCUGGUCUGAGAGGAUGAUCAGCCACACUGGGACUGAGACACGGCCCAGACUCCUACGGGGAGCAGCAGUGGGGAAUAUUGGACAAUGGGCGAAAGCCUGAUCCGGCAAUGCCGCGUGAGUGAUGAAGGCCUUAGGGUUGUAAAGCUCUUUUACCCGGGAUGAUAAUGACAGUACCGGGAGAAUAAGCUCCGGCUAACUCCGUG